rnacentral:rRNA from 1 species
GUCCAGACUCCUACGGGAGGCAGCAGUGAGGAAUAUUGGUCAAUGGGCGAGAGCCUGAACCAGCCAAGUAGCGUGAAGGAUGACUGCCCUAUGGGUUGUAAACUUCUUUUAUAAAGGAAUAAAGUCGGGUAUGCAUACGUUUGCAUGUACUUUAUGAAUAAGGAUCGGCUAACUCCGUGC